rnacentral:rRNA from 1 species
UACGUAGGGUGCGAGCGUUGUCCGGAUUUAUUGGGCGUAAAGAGCUCGUAGGCGGUUUGUCGCGUCGGCCGUGAAAUCUCCACGCUUAACGUGGAGCGUGCGGUCGAUACGGGCAGACUUGAGUUCGGUAGGGGAGACUGGAAUUCCUGGUGUAGCGGUGAAAUGCGCAGAUAUCAGGAGGAACACCGGUGGCGAAGGCGGGUCUCUGGGCCGAUACUGACGCUGAGGAGCGAAAGCGUGGGGGAGCAAACAGG